rnacentral:rRNA from 1 species
AUUGAACGCUGGCGGCAGGCCUAACACAUGCAAGUCGAGCGAGCGGCGGACGGGUGAGUAAUGUCUGGGAAACUGCCUGAUGGAGGGGGAUAACUACUGGAAACGGUAGCUAAUACCGCAUACCAUCAGAUGUGCCCAGAUGGGAUUAGCUAGUAGGUGGGGUAAAGGCUCACCUAGGCGACGAUCCCUAGCUGGUCUGAGAGGAUGAACAGCCACACUGGAACUGAGACACGGUCCAGACUCUUACGGGAGGCAGCAGUGGGGAAGAUUGCACAAUGGGCGCAAGCCUGAUGCAGCCAUGCCGCUUGUAUGAAGAAGGCCUUCGGGUUGUAAAGUACGUUCAGCGGGGAGGCGUUACCCGCAGAAGAAGCACCGGCUAACUCCGUGCCAGCAGCCGCGGUAAUAC